CGCAGCCGCGGUAAUUCCAGCCCNUAUAGCGUAUAUUAAAGUUGUUGCAGUUAAAAAGCUCGUAGUUGAAUUUCGGGGUCAGUAGGUCGGUCGUGCCACUGGUAUGAACUGGUUUUACUGAUUCCUCCCUCUUGAAGAACUGUAAUGCCAUUAAUUUGGUGUUGCAGGGAAUCAGGACUGUUACUUUGAAAAAAUUANAGUGUUUAAAGCAGGCUUUAGCUUGAAUACAUUAGCAUGGAAUAAUGAAAUAGGACGUUUGAUCCUAUUUUGUUGGUUUCUAGGAUUGACGUAAUGAUUAAUAGGGAUAGUUGGGGGCAUUAGUAUUCAAUUGUCAGAGGUGAAAUUCUUGGAUUUAUUGAAGACUAACUACUGCGAAAGCAUUUGCCAAGGAUGUUUUCAUUAAUCAAGAACGAAAGUUAGGGGAUCGAAGACGAUCAGAUACCGUCGUAGUCUUAACCAUAAACUAUGCCGACUAGGGAUCGGAUGAUGUUAAUUUUUCUAAUGACUCA
rnacentral:rRNA from 1 species